GAUGAACGUUGGCGGUGUGCCUAAUACAUGCAAGUCGAACGGAGUUAAUAGCAAUAUUGACUUAGUGGCGAACGGGGUGAGUAACGCGUUGGUGAUCUGCCUUGAAGUGUGGAAUAACGCUCCGAAAGGAGCGCUAAUACCGCAUGUGCUCUCAAUUUUUAGAAAGUUGAGAGGAAAGGAUUUAUUCGCUUCGAGAGGAGCCUGCGUCCCAUCAGCUGGUUGGUAGGGUAAAGGCCUACCAAGGCAAUGACGGGUAGGGGACCUGAGAGGGUGGCCCCCCACAAUGGAACUGAAACACGGUCCAUACACCUACGGGUGGCAGCAGUAGGGAAUAUUAGAAAUGGACGAAAGUCUGAUCUAGCAACACCGCGUGUGCGAAGAAGGCCUUCGGGUCGUAAAGCACUUUUUGGAAGGAAUAGGAAGGAAUGUACUUCCAGAAUAAGUCUCGGCUAACUACGUGCCAGCAGCCGCGAUAAACAUACUCGUA
rnacentral:rRNA from 1 species